rnacentral:rRNA from 1 species
CGAUGAUGCCCAGCUUGCUGGGUGGAUUAGUGGCGAACGGGUGAGUAACACGUGAGUAACCUGCCCCUGACUCUGGGAUAAGCGUUGGAAACGACGUCUAAUACUGGAUAUGAUCACUGGCCGCAUGGUCUGGUGGUGGAAAGAUUUUUUGGUUGGGGAUGGACUCGCGGCCUAUCAGCUUGUUGGUGAGGUAAUGGCUCACCAAGGCGACGACGGGUAGCCGGCCUGAGAGGGUGACCGGCCACACUGGGACUGAGACACGGCCCAGACUCCUACGGGAGGCAGCAGUGGGGAAUAUUGCACAAUGGGCGAAAGCCUGAUGCAGCAACGCCGCGUGAGGGAUGACGGCCUUCGGGUUGUAAACCUCUUUUAGUAGGGAAGAAGCGAAAGUGACGGUACCUGCAGAAAAAGCACCGGCUAACUACGUGCCAGCAGCCGCGGUAAUACGUAGGGUGCAAGCGUUGUCCGGAAUUAUUGGGCGUAAAGAGCUCGUAGGCGGUUUGUCGCGUCUGCUGUGAAAUCCCGAGGCUCAACCUCGGGCUUGCAGUGGGUACGGGCAGACUAGAGUGCGGUAGGGGAGAUUGGAAUUCCUGGUGUAGCGGUGGAAUGCGCAGAUAUCAGGAGGAACACCGAUGGCGAAGGCAGAUCUCUGGGCCGUAACUGACGCUGAGGAGCGAAAGCGUGGGGAGCGAAC